rnacentral:lncRNA from 1 species
UUGCGGACCAUAAACAGGCUGUUGACAACAAAUUUUGUAGUACAAGAUAAGUGAAAUGUAGAUAUAUAUAUAUAUAAUAAAUUAUAUCAUAUAUAUUAUUCAUGUAUAUAAAAUUUGGAGAUCUUACUAUUAUUUAAACUGUACUAUAAAUUUAUCUUGAUUUAAAUGUCUUCAUAAUUAUGAUAGUUAGAUUAUAAUGCUAAAAUAUAGUGACUCUAUUAGAACAGAUGUCAAUAGCUUUUUUAUUCAGCUGGUUUCAGAUGAGGAAACCAUGGCCCAGGAAGUUUGGGUAGCCCUAAGCUCUACUGUAGCAAACUAUUCAGUGCCGCGAAAGAAAAGCACCCACCCUGUCACAAAUGAUAUUUAGACUAGAGAACCAACACCUAAAUCCUGACCAUAUAAACCUCUGCUGAGCCCCAAUGCUAAAAAAGUAUUUAGAGCAAAUAGCACACAUUACUCCAAUCUUCCAGAGUAUUCUUCAGUUUUUCCCUACUUCAGGAAAAGACACAACAAUCUUUUGCACUGUAUAAUAUUCCCUAAGUCCUUUUUGAGUAUGAUUCAUGUCACCUUAUAGGUGAAAAAGCAAGCAUUCAGAGAAAGGGUUCACUGAAUUUUCUAAAACUGGUAGAGCGGACGCAACAUCACUACCAUUUAGCAAUGAUGAACAGGAGAUUGCUGAUUUUCUUUAAGUUGCAGUUUCAGGUAGAGACUUUCGCUGGUGGAUUAAAGCCACUUAAGACAGUUAAGGAAAGGACAGUAGAAUUGGAAGAAAUUCCCAACUGCCACUUUGAAUAGGGAUUUCUGCAAGUUUCUCAGGCUGUGGAAUAUCAAAUGGGGCCCACGUGAGCCGUCUCAGAGCAGUUACAAAAGAAAUGAGAGCGUGGGUAGACCUUAAGCUCUACCGCAGAAUCAAACAGACACACUGGGAGUUCCCACUGUGGUGCAGUGGAAACUAACCUGGCUAGGUUCCAUGAGGAUGCAGGUUCCAUCCCUGGCCUUGCUCAGCGGGUUGGGUAUCUGGCAUUGGUGUGAGCUGUGGGAUAGGUCGCAGACUCGGCUUAGAUCCCUCAUUGCUGUGGCUGUGGUGUAGGGCUGUAGCUCCCUAAAAAGCAAAACAAACAAACAAAAAACCAAAUAGACAUACUGAACACUUUAUUAGUUUCUGAUUGUUGGUUCGCUUCAAAGUGAAAAUAUUUAAACUGGAGAAAAUAUGUGAGAUAUUGAGUGGACUGUUUCGUAAGAUAUUACAGCCCUUCCAGUACCAUUUGGCAUUCCUGGGAUCUAGUGCUUAUGGAGACUCUCUCCAUCUAUGUCAAGAGUCGAAAGUAUAGAUUGUUUUGUUUUGUUUUUUUUUGCUUUUUAAGGCUUUAUCCAUGACAUAUGGAAGUUCCCAGGCUAGGGGUCAAAUCAGAGCUACAGCUGCCAGCCUACACCACAGCCACAGCAAUGCCACAUCUGAGCCAUGUCUGCUACCUACACUAGAGCUCACAGCAACACCGGAUCCGGAUCCUUAGUCCACUGAGGGAGGUCAGGGAUCGAACCUAUAUCCUUAUGGAUACUAAUUGGAUGCAUUUCUGCUGAGCCACAAUGGGAACUCCAAAAAAAAGAUAGCUUUUAAUGAUCACAGCUGGUAGACGUUAACUGGAGUAUUCUAGAAAUAACAGUGUUAUUUGUUCUCAAGAAGUUCCCUCAGUAUUUUCCAAGUGAAAAUGUAUUCCUUUGACUAGGCUUUGACCAAAGUUUCAGGAUCUAACCUUAGAAAAGUCUUUAACUUUCAAAGACUAUUAUUCAAGACCUUUUAGGACAUAAUUGCGACUAUUCCAAGAUAAUCUGGGUUUAAGCCUGUUUAGAAGAAACUGCUCACAGGCCGAGACUGCAGACCUUCUCACGGCACUAAUUCAGGUGCCUUCCAGCAAGGAUGUUUGCCAUGACACCUCCUCUCCAAUUCUACUGAGUCUACACAUAGUUCUUCAGGAUUUUGUCAUUUAAUCUCUGGACUUCCCAGUCAUGGCUGGAACUCCAGGUCUGGUCCAAGUAGGUCCAGAAGGAAGAGUUCUGCAGGGUCAAGCAACAAGGAGGGGGUGUUGGGGACCAUACAGACCUGCAUUGGCACAUUGGUGUCAGGGUAGGAAAACGGCCAUAGACCAUCAACACAACCCCAGCCGCUGGUCCACCCUAGGACUCUGCUCACAGCCACCUUAAAUCCACCCUGCUCAUCUUUUUAAAAUCAUAUGAAUGUUGAAGUGUUGUCUCUUUUAUUAUUAUUUUUAAUUUUGUCUCUUUCCUAGAUUCUCUUUCAGAUUUUUCCCCCUUCAGCUUUGAUAUUUUGGUGUGUGUCCUUCACUCUCUACCCAAUAAGCUCCAAUAAUGUUAAAGAAGAGAAAAGAAAAAAAGAGAAAAGAAGAAAAAAAAAA